rnacentral:rRNA from 1 species
CCCNCGUGAGUGAAGAACGCCNUCGGGNUGUCAAGCUCUUNCGGCCGGAACAAAUUCGCGUACGUNAAUUACGNGNGUGGANGACGGUACUGGAUGAACAACCACCGGAUUACUACNUGCCAGCAGNCGCGGUAAUACNUAGGGUGCGAGCGUUAAUCGGAAUUACUGGGCGUAAAGCGUGCGUAGGCGGUUCUGCAAGUCARAUGUGAAAUCCCCGGGCUUAACCUGGGAACUGCGUUUGAAACUACGGAGCUAGAGUACGGCAGAGGGGGGUGGAAUUCCACGUGUAGCAGUGAAAUGCGUAAAUAUGUGGAGGAACACCGAUGGCGAAAGCAACCCCCUGGGCCGAUACUGACGCUCAGGCACGAAAGCGUGGGGAGCAAACAGGAUUAGAUACCCUGGUAGUCCACGCCCUAAACUAUGUCAACUAGUUGUCGGGGAAGCAAUUCNUUGGUAACNAANCUAACNCGUGAAGUUUACCGCCUGGGGAGUACNGUCNCAAGAUUAAAACU